rnacentral:rRNA from 1 species
AUUGAACGCUGGCGGCAGGCCUAACACAUGCAAGUCGAGCGGCAGCGGGAAAGUAGCUUGCUACUUUUGCCGGCGAGCGGCGGACGGGUGAGUAAUGCCUGGGAAAUUGCCCAGUCGAGGGGGAUAACAGUUGGAAACGACUGCUAAUACCGCAUACGCCCUACGGGGGAAAGCAGGGGACCUACGGGCCUUGCGCGAUUGGAUAUGCCCAGGUGGGAUUAGCUAGUUGGUGAGGUAAUGGCUCACCAAGGCGACGAUCCCUAGCUGGUCUGGGAGGAUGAUCAGCCACACUGGAACUGAGACACGGUCCAGACUCCUACGGGAGGCAGCAGUGGGGAAUAUUGCACAAUGGGGGAAACCCUGAUGCAGCCAUGCCGCGUGUGUGAAGAAGGCCUUCGGGUUGUAAAGCACUUUCAGCGAGGAGGAAAGGUUGAUGCCUAAUACGUAUCAACUGUGACGUUACUCGCAGAAGAAGCACCGGCUAACUCCGUGCCAGCCGCCGCCGUAAGAC